rnacentral:lncRNA from 1 species
UGUCUGCAUUAUGAUUUAAUUGUCCAGAAACGUGUUCGAUAUCAAAAUUGAAUUCUGCUCUAAAUGCAAAAGUACGGAACUGUUUUUGUGUCCGGGAGGGAUUGCAAAUGUCUAUUGCAGUGACUAAAGUUUGUGAUCCGUGAACACUUUAAAAACUUAUCGAUCCAAAGCCCAUAGAAAAUGUUUCAUGCUUUCCUUACCACCUAAUAAUUCCCUAUCCAACGCAGAAUAUUUCUGUUGUAUCGUUGAAAGAGCCCGAGACCAAAAAAGCUAGAGGUUGCCAGUGCUCCCAUCCCUGUAUCAGAUGCAUCACUCGUCAGGGCUAAAGGCAAUGAACUAUCUCUGAAUGCAAGUUGAGUACUUUUAGACAAACUGUUUUUAAUACUUUGAAAGGCGUGUUCGUGUUCUGUAUUCCAAUUAAACUUUACAUUUUCUUUAACAGGGGGGUACAAAUGAACUGUGUCUAUUGAGACAAUCUUUAGAUGAACUGAGAGUAAUAUUACAUCAUGCCAAAAAAUCUAUGCAGUUCAUCUUUUGAGUUUGGAGUUGGCACUUUUUGGAUUACCUUUAUCUUACGCUCUAGAGGCCUAAAAUCUUUUGAUGGAAUAGAGUAUCCAAGAAAGUCUACAGAUUUAAUGAAAAACUAACAUUUUGUAGGAUCAUACCAGCUGUUUUAAGUCUUGAUAAAACUACAUUCACCGUUUUUCCAAUGUUCAUCCAUUGACUCCGAAGCGACAAGGAUAUCGUCAAGGUACACAAACACAUGUGGAAUUCCUCGUAGAAUUGAAUCAGUGAGUCUCUAAAAUGUUUGAGCAGCAUUUUUAAUACCAAAAUGCAUCUUCAAAUAUUCAUAUAAACUAUAUGACGUAAGGAUUAUAGUUUUAUCUAUAGAAGAGUUAUUCAUAGAUUAGCCACCAAAUCUCUCAGAUUUGGGAGGGGAUACCGAUCAAGGUCCGUCAUCCUAUUUAAUUGACAAUAUUUGCCGCAAAUUCGCCACCCUCCUUUGGGUUUGCGAACUACAUGAAUAGCAGAAGAAAAAUUAGAAGAAGACGAUCGUAAGAUUCCUUUCUUCAACAAUUCGUUGAAUUCGUCUCGUACAAAAUUUAACUUCUCACAAUCCAACUUGCAUGAUUUCGCAAAGCAAGGAGGACCUUUCCUCUCAUCAUAGUGUUCAACUCCGUGAGCUGGAUAAAUUUCAGUGAAACUUUUCUUAUCAAAGACAUCACUAUAUUUCGAUUUGAUUUCUUGAGUCUUUAAUAGUUCUGUUAUGAAGCAUGGUUGAUCUUGGGAUAACUUCUUAUUGAAGAUAUAAAUUCAAAACCUGAAAUUAUAUAAACAACCUGCACCCAAAAUGGGACGACCACUUUGUACCACAAUAAGUUUCCAUUGCAAACAUCCUAGAUUUUCUAUAUUGAGAGUUGAUGUUGUUGUACCAAUAACAUCAUAUCCAAUAAUAGUGGACAGUUUUUCUCGAACAUGAUUUUUACAUUUUUUAAAUAGGGUAACCGAUAAUUGCGCUCCUGUAUCUACUAGAAAAUUAAUCAAAUUUGAAUUGUACAUGAUGAGAAAGAAGUUUGAUGGUUUAUUUACAACCUCGGUCCCGUGCAACAGAAGGACAAUUUAGUUUUUGUGAAGCAAGUACAUAAAAAUGGCAACUAGCUCCUGAACAGUAGAUUUAGUAAAUUUGGACGUGUUAUUAAGAUAUAUUUUGAAAACAUGAUUGAUAGGAGGCGAAGCCUACGAGUCCUCAACAAUAUAAAUAUGUGUAUCGCUAAGUUAUUUGGCUGCAACACAUAUUUGUUUCAACUCUUCAAUCGAAUGGCAUUGUGCUCUCAAAUAUCUUUGCUGGUCUUUAGGCACAUUUCUGAUGAGAACCUCCCUAAGUAAAUGAUGGCACAAAUCAUGGAUGUAUUCGUCGUCAAGGAGACGCUCAACUUCAUUCUAUAACUUCCCCAGGGGAAAGUCCCGAUGAAUCUUACAGCAAAUCAGAAUUUUUAAAUUCUUUUUGAAGGUUAGAGACCAUAUUUCUGUAAAAUUAUCUUUUUUGCACCAUAAUAGAUGAUACCUUCCUUCUUUAUUGGGAUAGACCUCAAAACUUCACUAGGUAAUGUUGAAUCCAUUAGACAAAAUUUGGUCUGAUCUUCAUUUAUCUUCCUCAUCAAAAAAUCCAGCUCAAUUCUUUGAAACCAAUUUUCCGGAUCCAACGCCGGGAAUUUUAGAAGACAUAGUUCUGCUACAGUAAGAGUUAAGUUGCUGACCUCUUCCGCCAUAUACUUUUGUGAGGGACAUUGUCCGCAUGUUCUUGACCAUCAGAAUGAUAUUUUUUAGGAGGCAUGAUAUCACGUCGCGAUCACCAAUGUUAAGUUUUAAAUAUUUUUAUUUCAACUGAGUAAAAUGAUAAUUCCUUUUCAUGAAAAAGAAAAGGAAAAUAAGGUACAAUGAAGAACAAUUAAUAUAAAUCAUACAAGUCAAACUUUUGCAUGUAUUUAAAAAAAAUUAUAUUGGCAUGUUUUAUUACUAGAAGAAUCAAUAUUUUUGUACUAAAUACAUGUUAUAACUCAUGUUACGCUUAAAUAUUAAGCGUAUGGGUUAAUUGGUGAUAUUUAGGAAUAUGAUUUUAUUACUUUUUAGAUAUAUCUAUAUACUGUAAUAAUUGUUUUCCUAUGGGAGGAAAAGGGUGCUGACUGGAGGGAUAUUGGAUGAUUCUCCAUUAAUAGGCCGAUGAAUACUACUACUGUGAAAACUAGUGGGUGAAACGGUCCUAUAUAGAUAUUGAUGUAAAUCGUGUCUAUUUUUU